rnacentral:misc_RNA from 1 species
GUGCAGAGAAAUUCAUUGGAAAAGAGCUAUAUCAAUGGGCGACCUGCAUGACAUGCGUAUAACAACCCAAUCACAAGCCCCCAUCUGUCAUUCUGAAUGCAGACGUACACGCUCAUAUUUUCGCUAUUUAAAUCAAAUUUUAAAAUGGGGUAUUCCUAAAUACAGCAUACCAGAGUUAAAGCAAAGCCAUGUCUGUUCUGAUUCUACAAUGCAAUCACCAUGUGGCCAUUAACCAAACUAUAAAAUUAACAUGACCGAAUGGGCAGCAUUCCAACAUCAACAAUCUGAGACCCCAGAUUCAAAAUAAUUAAGGAAAUUGAAAAAAAUAAUCAACCAAAUCUUUCAAUCCUCCGUCGACGUAUUUCUGCCAAUGUGAGAUCAUCACCAUCCUGAUGUUGCAAUUGACGGGACGAAAAACCACUGCCACCUCUACUUGUCCCACACAUUUCACAUACGCUUAACCAAACAGAAUUGUCAAAUGUACAUGCUUGACACCUCCACACCCCUGAUACUGUCCUUCCUCCCUGACUCGCACCAACAGUACCCCGACCAGAAAUCCGCUGCCGCCUUGGUCUAAAUAAGCUUCUCAUUAACUUCAAAGGCCAGCUCAAUAUGCCUGCAAAAUUUCUGAUGAUUGAAGUCAAUGGGUCUGGACCUGAAUAUGAUCCUUUCAACUUCAAAUAGAGAAGUCCAGCAAGUAUUCCACCAAGGUGCCCCAGAAAUGACACCCCAGGUACAAACAUUUGGAUAAGAAUCAAUUCAGCCCAUGCAGCAUAGCGUGCUGGUACCACUAGUCCAUGCACAUAUGCAUAGUUUUCAGACUGAGAAUUAAGGACAACUUUCAUUGCAAAGAGAACACCAGAGAACCCAACGGCAUAUUCAGAAUAAAAAGGCUUUUCAUAGUCAAAGAACAAGAGAAGGGACUUGGCUAUUAGCAG